rnacentral:rRNA from 1 species
CGCGGCCUAUCAGCUUGUUGGUGAGGUAAUGGCUCACCAAGGCGUCGACGGGUAGCCGGCCUGAGAGGGUGACCGGCCACACUGGGACUGAGACACGGCCCAGACUCCUACGGGAGGCAGCAGUGGGGAAUAUUGCGCAAUGGGCGAAAGCCUGAUGCAGCAACGCCGCGUGAGGGAUGACGGCCUUCGGGUUGUAAACCUCUUUUAACAGGGAAGAAGCGAAAGUGACGGUACCUGCAGAAAAAGCGCCGGCUAACUACGUGCCAGCAGCCGCGGUAAUACGUAGGGCGCAAGCGUUAUCCGGAAUUAUUGGGCGUAAAGAGCUCGUAGGCGGUUUGUCGCGUCUGCUGUGAAAUCCCGAGGCUCAACCUCGGGCCUGCAGUGGGUACGGGCAGACUAGAGUGCGGUAGGGGAGAUUGGAAUUCCUGGUGUAGCGGUGGAAUGCGCAGAUAUCAGGAGGAACACCGAUGGCGAAGGCAGAUCUCUGGGCCGUAACUGACGCUGAGGAGCGAAAGGGUGGGGAGCAAACAGGCUUAGAUACCCUGGUAGUCCACCCCGUAAACGUUGGGAACUAGUUAUGGGGACCAUUCCACGGUUUCCGUGACGCAGCUAACGCAUUAAGUUCCCCGCCUGGGGAGUACGG